rnacentral:rRNA from 1 species
CAGCCGCCGCGGUAAUACCGGCGGCCCGAGUGGCGGUCACUAUUAUUGGGCUUAAAGCGUCCGUAGCCGGGGUGGGAAGUCCUCCGGGAAAUCUGGCCGCUUAAAGGUCAGAAUGCCGGAGGAUACUCCCAGCCUAGGGAGCGGGAGAGGCCGAGGGGAUUCCCGGAGUAGGGGAGAAAUCCUAUAAUCCCGGGAGGACCACCUGUGGCGAAGGCGCUCGGCUGGAACGCGUCCGACGGUGAGGGACGAAGGCCAGGGGAGCAAACCGGAUUAGAUACCCGGGUAGUCCUGGCUGUAAACGAUGCGGACUUUGUGUCGGACAAGCUAUGAGCUUGUCCGGUGCCGGAGGGAAACCGUUAAGUCCGCCGCCUGGGGAGUACGGCCGCAAGGCUGAAACUUAAAGGAAUUGGCGGG